rnacentral:lncRNA from 1 species
GUUCUCAAUUAUUGCUAAAAAAUGCCAAUUUUCUAAUGCCUGUUUCAAUCCCGACUCCCGAAUGUCUAAAAACAUUCUAGAACUUCACAAAAUCUCACUUCCGGCCAUCAUUGCUUUGUGUACAUUCCAUUCAGCGUCAUCAGUCUUGUGGCAGGCAAUACAGGUCAAGCAAAUCAUAUUUUUAGGAAUUUUAAAAUGACAU